rnacentral:tRNA from 1 species
GAAGGUAUAGCACAGUGGGUAGAGGGUGUUCCUAGCACGCACGAGGUCCUGGGUUCAAUUCCCCAGUAUCUCCA